CAGCCUUAAGCGUUGCUGGCUGGUCAGUGCUAUAAGUUGAAACUCAUCCAUUCAGAAUCCAAUCGAUAUAUAAUGUGCACAUCUGGGAACUGUGAUAACAGUAUAUUUCUAUAGAACCAUGAAUUAAUUUAAUAAAUUUACUUUAUUCCUUUAUUUGUACGAAUAAAUUUCAAUAAAAUUAUAUGGUUAAUUGGUGUCGUAGCGUCGUAUCGUUGUAUGUCGUAAUUUUUUUUUAUUAAUGUUUUGUUUUUGUUUCGAAAAAUUAGUUUGAAAAAUAUUUAUGACAUACAAUGCUACAACACUACGACAUCAAUUGUGAAUUGGGCAAAUGUU